GUAGCCCCUGCUCGCAGCAACUCAAGAAAGCCCGCGUGCAGCAACAAAGACCCGACACAGCCAAUAAUUAAUUAAUUAAUAAUUAUAAAAAAGCUGUUCAGUAUUUUGAAACUUUGCCAUACAGAAAACAGGCAGCAGGCCAGAUCUGGACCAUGAGCUGUAGUUUGCCAUCCCUGCUCUACCCUGACAUAAAACAUCCUUACUUUUCCAAUGAAGUCACCCUGAGGACAGAGGAACAUGAACAAGUAUGUUUUGGGGGGCUGCAGGAUAUCCCUGAAGCAGUCACCACAAGCUAGACAUUUUAUGAAGGUCUAUCACAAUGUCAACUAAAGUAAUUUUAAUAAGAUUAUUUUAAUACGUAUUUAUGUCAGCAUUAAUGAAAAUAUUCAAUUACUACUUAAAUUACAUAGCCUUUCUGCCUCAAAAUUUUGAAUAAACUAACACUGCUUGGUGUAUCCCAAGCACAACACAAGGUAAUGCUCAAUGCUCCCAGUGACACAAACCUGUUUGAGAAAGGAGAAUGAUGAUCCAUUAUAGCAUGAGGCAGGACUGAAAUCAGCAGUCUUCCUAUAGCAGGUACUGUCUUCUUUUGGUUCUGACAUAGAAGAUGGCUUGAUCGCAGUAAAACCUAUUAACUAUCCAACUUCCUAGCAAUUGCUUCUCUCUCUCUGGAGUCCAGUGAUUCUCCCUUAAUGACGCCCAAGCCUCCAGCAUGAACUGUUUGCAUGUUUUUCUGUUUACGGCACAUCACAGUGGAGUCCCAAGUCACAGUCAACAGCCAAGGUGAGACCCCCUAGUGCUGGGCUCAUUGACUCAGCCUUUAAUUUUCAUGUACUGCUCUGACUCAAAUGACACAAACCCAUAUAAGCGUAAAACCCAUGGCAUCAUUCCACUGUGUUAGUUUCAAUCUCGAUGCCUCCAGUAAUUUAAUACUCAGUCAAAAAAGAACCUGGUGCAUUUUGCUUCCCAUUCUGUUUUAUUCCAGUACUUUAGUUUUAGAACCUCAUUUGGGUUUUUUAAAAGCAAAGCUUCCUACAAGCCUAGUAAAUGCACAAGCACAGGUUUCAUUACUUCUAUUUUGUCAAAUGUAGCAUUCAACCGGAUUCUCUCCAAUUUUGUAUCAAAUGAUGAAACACAGCUAAACUGGACCCAGUCCUUGCUAGCAUGUUAACAGAUUUUGUUCAAAAGUCUGCCAUGUCCUUCCUGUUGCAUAAAUGAUCACCAGUCCUGGGACCACUGCAUGUUCCAAGGCUCUCAAACGGUACUAAAUUUAUUACUUCCAGUGGAAUGUGUAAAUUGGCCUGGCCUUUCCACCCAUACCCCACGCCCCCCCGUAGCAAAGUCUGUCUCUCACACCCGUUGUAAAUAUUUCUUCCCAUAAGUAUGGAAGAACUUUUGCCACACCCCCCACAACAAAUGUCAUGCUAUGUUCAUACUCAGAACAAACCAAUGCCAAAAAAAGGAGCAAGAUACCAAAUUUGUUUUAACUUUUUAUUAAAACGCUUAGGAUACAGAUUGACUUUCUUUUGUAAAUGACUGUUUUACUUUUCCUGAAAUAGGACAUAUAUGCACUCUGAUAAAACAGAAUGAAAAGUCUCAAUUCAUGGGAGUUCCAGUACAAAGCUCUGACCCUAACUGUCGAGCCAAGUUCCUCACAGCGGCUUCUUUCCUCUAUAUUAUUUCUGUGGGACAAGAAAUAGACUGCUGCCACUUGAUUUUUCAAUCCCGACUCUUUCUCCAGUGGCCAAAAUAAACCACCUUCACAAAGAGCUGCCCUGUGUAGAAUCCAGUUUUCUAGCUUGCUAAAAAGUGAUUAGGGACAAAUAUAAAAAAAAAAAA